ACAGUCUCCCACCUGUA
rnacentral:misc_RNA from 1 species